GCACUGCUGAGGAGUCCCACGAUAGGACGAAACGGCAGUCCAGUGC
rfam:Schistosoma margrebowiei strain Zambia genome assembly, scaffold: SMRZ_contig0000663